UGCUUGCAGCUUUAAUUGUAAGUACCGCCUGCCCAAUGAUUAAUUAAAUGGCCGCAGUAUUUUGACUGUGCAAAGGUAGCAUAAUCAUUUGUCUCUUAAUUAGAGGCUUGUAUGAAUGGCAUAACGUGGGAGUAGCUGUGUCAUAUUAUAUUUUGAACUUAAUCUUUAAGUCAAAAAGCUUAAAUAUAAUAGCAGGACGAGAAGACCCCGUAGAUCUUUAUAUUGUCUCUCCUAUAAAAAUUAGUAGUAAUUACUGCAGGAGGUUAACAUAUUUUGUUGGGGUGACAUGAAGUCAUAAACACUUCUUUCUUAACAAUUAUAGUAGGAUUUAUGACCCGGUGAACCGAUUAGAAAAUUAAGUUACCUUGGGGAUAACAGCGUAAUUUACCCUUAGAGUCCUUAUCAAUUGGUAAGUUUGCGACCUCGAUGUUGGAUUAAGAUACUCUAUACGAGCAGCCCCGUACUAGAGAGGUCUGUUCGACCUAUAAAUUCUUACAUGAUCA
rnacentral:rRNA from 1 species